GCAAAUGACUAAGAAGAAAAUGGUUUUGGAGCAUCUAGUUGUUGGAAGGCUUAAAGCACAAAAUAUCAACCAGGAAGAACUGGAUGAUAUUAUAAGGUAUGGGUCAAAAGAGUUAUUUGCUGAUGAGAAUGAUGAGGCUGGAAAAUUGCGUCAAAUACAUUACGAUGAUGCUGCAAUAGAUAGAUUGCUCAAUCGCGAUCAAGUUGUAGAUGAGGAUGCUGCCAUGGACGAUGAAGAAGAGGAUUCAUUUUUGAAGGCCUUCAAGGUAGCUAAUUUUGAGUAUAUAGAAGAAGCAGAAGCAACACCAGAG
rnacentral:misc_RNA from 1 species